UGAGGCGAUCUUGGCGUCCCUCAGGGCUGCUGCAGCGCUGGAUGGUGGCCGGCAACUUAGGUAGCAAUUUGGGAAGACGCUACCAAAGUGUUUAUUGUGCGCCAGGCCCUAAAAGGUUUGAGGCAGGGGGUGUCCUCACUGGACUCGAGGCGUCCCAUUUCAGGUGCUCUAUUGGCUAAUCUGUGUGAUGCCUUACAUAGGGUUUGCCAUUCAGAGUUCGAGGCCCGUCUCUUUCGUUUGGCUUUUUCCCUGGCAUUCUUUGAUACCAUGUGACUGUGUGCCCCAGUCGUCAGCAGGUGGGGGGGUGCUAUUUGGGGAUGUUACUUGCGCAGCGGAUUGAAUUUCAUUUAGGUUUCGACGCUCGAAGACCGAUGUCUUUGGGAAGGGUAAGUGGGUCCGACUGGGGGGUGUGCCGGGUUCCGGCAUUUGUCACGUUUUUUCCUUUGGAAAGUAUUGUUCCUUACACCCGGUUUCUCCCUC